GUCCACGCCGUAAACGAUGUCUACUAGCCGUUGGGAGACUUGAUUUCUUAGUGGCGCAGCUAACGCAAUAAGUAGACCGCCUGGGGAGUACGGCCGCAAGGUUAAAACUCAAAUGAAUUGACGGGGGCCCCGCACAAGCGGUGGAGCAUGUGGUUUAAUUCGAUGCAACGCGAAGAACCUUACCAGGUCUUGACAUCCAGAGAACUUUCCAGAGAUGGAUUGGUGCCUUCGGGAGCUCUGAGACAGGUGCUGCAUGGCUGUCGU
rnacentral:rRNA from 1 species